rnacentral:lncRNA from 1 species
GGAAGAGCCACCUGAUCAUCAGGGCACUGGCAGGACCCCCCUGGGAAUCUUGAUGUGCUUCAGUGGUCGGGGGUUGGUGCGGAGCUCGGCUCAGUGAGAGCAGAAGAGUGGACGUCACACUCCCAGCAGCCGGCCCGUCUGCCCUCUGCCUCCCCUCUCUCCAUGUAGCAGCCCAUCGUGGAUGAUCCUGUUGGCUGGAGCUCUUUCAUCAGUUUCUUUACCAGCAACUGUGGUGCUUCCUGGACCUCUGGAAUGGAGAAGAGUCGGCGCGAACUGGCCCAGGUCUGGCUGCGUCCUGGUGCACCCCCUGUGCCUCCCCACUGCACACCUGGCCAUCCAGGGCCUGCUGGCUGCUGCAGCGCUCACUAGAGUGCCCUGUGAUUCUUCAGGGCAGAGUCUGGCAGCUGCACAGAGCAUGCUAGCCCCUUUUGAGCUUCGUGCUGUGUCCUGGUGACACGUUUCCCUGG